AUUUUAUAUAAAUACAGAUAUUGAAUAUUCCGUAUAUUUCCUACAACUGGAUAUGUAAAAUUAUUUUUAAUAUUUCACUAAUAACUUGUUAAAAAUCAAGAGAAAUGGAAAAUUAAUUCAAACAUUUAACAGAUCUGACAUUGUUGACGACGACGACGACUGAGUUGCUGUUGCACAAUGCAUUUGUGGUUCAUUAUUCAGAAGAAUUAUCGGAUUGUAGUAGCCAUACACCCAGUAAUAAGUUGCUGAAACAAAUUAAUAAUAAUUAUUAAAUUUUAUAAAAUUGUACUCUAUGACUUAAAAAAUAAAAAGUAUUCAACUAA